CGCAUACGCCCUACGGGGGAAANCGGGGGAUCUUCGGACCUCGUGCUAUUAGAUGAGUCUGCGUCGGAUUAGCUUGUUGGUGAGGUAAUGGCUCACCAAGGCGACGAUCCGUAGCUGGUCUGAGAGGAUGACCAGCCACACUGGAACUGAGACACGGUCCAGACUCCUACGGGAGGCAGCAGUGGGGAAUAUUGCACAAUGGGCGCAAGCCUGAUGCAGCCAUGCCGCGUGUGUGAAGAAGGCCUUAGGGUUGUAAAGCACUUUCAGCAGUGAGGAAAGGGGUGUCGUUAAUAGCGCCAUCCUGUGACGUUAACUGCAGAAGAAGGACCGGCUAACUCCGUG
rnacentral:rRNA from 1 species